UUGUAGACAAUGUGUUUCAUUCUAUAAUACUGCCAUAUGUUGUACACUCCAGUUUUUCUAAUUCCUUUCAGACUUGAGUGCCUGCUCUCCACUUGUAAAUGGCAACAGGUCCAAAGACAAACAGCGAGGGAAAUUGGUCUGCAAAAGGUUGUGCUUUUGGAAGUGUGCACACAAAGUCUGUUUUUCAUUUUCUGCAGCUGGGGCCUAAUGUGGAGAUUCUCGAGGACAAUGGAUGACCUUUUGUUGUGAAAACCAUCACAUUCAGACACAGUGGAGUUAGUGCCACACGAUCCCCAAUAAUACUGAAUAUCUGAUUUGACUGUUAAACAAGUGACAGCUGACCAUCAGAAAGAAUAUCCUUUGUCCUGCCCAUUGGUGUGACCUUAUGUGACCUCAGAUGACCUUAAUUGUAUCAAUCAAACUCAGAUAUCAGGAGACUUGACAAACAUUUACAAACACUCAUUACUGAGUUUCCUUAGCAGACAAAAACAAAGUGAUUCUCUUCAGUUGGCCUCAGGCUUCUGCAACGGGUGACACCAGAGUCAAACAGACACAGAGGCAGCUCCCAGUGGCAGCACUUACAACUGGGAAGUGUGAGAACAAGAUCAGAGAGGUGCUGUCUUCACGAAUUCCAAUAAUCAAUUAAACAUCAGUAAAAUCUCAAAGAUUCAAAUGCUAGGGCAUGUGGUGUUGAAGAGUUAAACAGAUGCAAGGAGAAAAAACUGGCGCCACAGUGAUACAGAAAAAGAUAUACAUCCCAAACGUUACAGAAGACAGAGCUACAUAUAGACAGAGUUGUCUUGUGUUCAGUAUACACAAAACACACAGCUGUGGCCUCUUACAGAGCUAUAUAGAUAGAGCAUGUUGAAAGCAAACACACACCUGGUUUGUUUAAAGUUCAAGGAAUGCUAUCUAGAGGUGUUCCAAAUGACUGUGAACAUUUCCCUGCUAUCUCUCUGUGGAGAGCAGGGGUGGCUGAUUGAUGUAGUAGGGAACCAGUCUGAAAAUCUUCUAAUCACCUAUAGCCUGAAGUUACAUCACAUGAAAAGUUCCAAACACUCUCAUUUAUUGAAAAUUGAUGACAUAUUUCAAUAUACAUGAAUUGCUUUCUGUAAACAAGCUCAGGACAAGCCAUUUAAAUGUACAAUUAUGUAUCCAAUAUAAUCAUAAUUAUAUAUUAAAGAGCACAAGAGAAAAAGCACAGGCACUCGACAUUUUAAAACUCUAUUAAAAAAAAAAUUAGUCUUUCAAUAAACAAACUAUGCCCAGGAAGAUAAUUUUAUGAUAGAUUUUUAAAAUGUCCAAUAUGCCUGUGAGGAAGAAAGGAUGAGAAAAUAAUACAUCUAUAUGUAUAUUUUUCAAACGUAUUUUGCAUUGUUAUUUGGUAUAUUUUGCAGUACUGGGAUUAUUAGCAUAUAACAAACAAUAUAAUUCUCAAUUUUCUUGCAUUAAAUUAUGAUGCAUGGUGGUAAUUAAUUAAUACUUCAAUUAUUAUUGUUACAUACAUAUCCAGUUCUCCAAUUAAAUCAAGCCAAACCAGUGUAAUGAAUGAAAUACUAUUUUGUAAAUGGUAUUUUAAAAACAAUUUGUAAGUAUUUAUUCAAUCACAUUGUUAUUCAUAAUGCAUGAAACGAUCCUGAUUUGGAAAUGACGAAUCUAUCUGCCUAGAAAGCUUUAAUAUACAGUAUAAUCUGUCUAAACCGGCUAUGUGUGGUUCCAAAGAAAUUGGCCGGUUUGCACAGAGUCCGGAGUGCAGAAUGUUGACAAUAAUGAGAGUUGCUUCCCUUGUAUUCACUAUCUAUGCAUACGUGUGUAAUGAUUGCUAACGUUUUAAUAUAUCACAAAAGAAUUCAAAAUGUAAAAAUAUAAAUGUCAGUGUUUUAUUGUCGUGCUCAUUUGAAAAAGUUUUAAUUUUUAUUAAACAGUUUAAAAUCUGGGAAUUAUUCGCGCAA